UUCUAGAGCUAAUACAUGCAAACAAGUCCCGACCAGCGAUGGAGAGGACGCUUUUAUUGGAUCAAAACCAUUCGCCCGGCUUGCCCGGGCGUCGGCUUGAUGACUCUAGAUAACACCACAGAUCGCACGGUCAUAGUACCGGUGACGUAUCCUUCAAAUGUCUGACUUAUCAGCUGUCGAUGGUAGACUCUGUGUCUACCAUGGCGCUCACGGGUGACGGGGAAUCAGGGUUCGAUUCCGGAGAGGGAGCCUGAGAAACGGCUACCACAUCCAAGGAAGGCAGCAGGCACGCAAAUUACCCACUCCCGGCACGGGGAGGUAGUGACAAAAAAUAACGAUACGGGACUCAUCCGAGGCCCCGUAAUCGGAAUGAGAACACCCUAAAUCCUUUAACGAGGAUCUAUUGGAGGGCAAGUCUGGUGCCAGCAGCCGCGGUAAUUCCAGCUCCAAUAGCGUAUAUUAAAGUUGUUGCGGUUAAAAAGCUCGUAGUUGGUUCUGCGUGCCACGCUGUCGGUUCACCGCCUGCCGGUGCAACUGGCAUGCCGUGGCAUGUCCUGUCGGUGGCGGACAGGCUUCUCGGCGUGCCCUAUGCGUCUUAACGGCGUGUAGGCUGCUGCGCCGCGUUGUCCUUGUACGCCGGCUCAAUCCUACCGCGGUG
rnacentral:rRNA from 1 species